AGGUGAGCCGGGACAGCCUUCUUCCUCCGCCCAGCCGCCACAGUAAUUUGUCGUCAAGUUUGCCGCAGGAGGAUAUUUUAUUCUGGGUUAACCUGCUUUUAUACUUCGCAGGUUGUUUAUCGAUAUUUGUGUAAUUUUAUGUACUCCUAGAAUUUCCGCAUGUGUUAGCAGUAAUUAUUUGAAUUUGGUCUGUAAUAUUAUUAUCAUGUUGGACCUGUAAACUUAAUAUUCUAUGUCUGUUUGAUGGAUUGGAUGAGGGAGCUGAGCUCCCAUUUAUUAUUA